AGAUGUCAAUGUGAGGCGAGAUUGUGUGAUGAGCUGUCUGAGCAUCUACCUCAAUGAAGACCUGGACACACUUGUUAAAGAAUAUGUGGUAUGUAUCAGAAUAGUGUGCCAGUAAUUUUUCCAUCUAGAUAAUAUGGAUUGUUCAUGAGAAUGGAAUGGACAUUAGGACACAUUGACCACCAGUAUUUCAACAUUGAGUCCAUUGGGUUGUUUUGAAUAAAAAAAAUCAUGCAAGGUAAAUGGUGGUAGAGCUGUCACUCUGAGGGAAUUAAAUCCGCUUGGUCCAGAGGAACCUGAAGAUGAAGUUGUCUGGGUUCUGGCACCCACAUGCCCCUUCUCCGCCAGAAACAACAAUCCUCGCCUAAACAACAAGGAUGCAUGUUCUGGACUGUCUGCUUACGAACUCAAGCGCCUUGAGAACAUCACGCACAAGGAAGCCUUCUUGUCGUCUCUGAAGAUAUGGCAAGUUAAUGGCUUCAUUGGAAGAAAAAUCUCUGCAGUCUCCCCGGAAAUCCCUCCGUUCUAAAAUAAAAAACCUCACCCCAAGUGAAGGGUUGACCCAUAAUCAAGUGAGAACAAGACUAAUACUUGUAUAAUUUUCAGAUAUUAUAUUGUUGUUGUUGUUACAUUAAUAGGAAAUUGCACAACUGGAGAUAAAAAUGCAUUGUGUUGUUGUUAACUUAUUAUCCACAGCCUUGUGACUUUUAUUUUUCCAGGCUUUUAGGGGGUGAUCAGGUCUUAAGGUCAUUAUCCUGAACUUGCAUCCAUUCCGUUCUCAUGAAUGCAUAUAUGCU